rnacentral:rRNA from 1 species
AUGAACGCUGGCGGCGUGCCUAAUACAUGCAAGUCGCGCGAACGGACGAGAAGCUUGCUUCUCUGAUGUUAGCGGCGGACGGGUGAGUAACACGUGGAUAACCUACCUAUAAGACUGGGAUAACUUCGGGAAACCGGAGCUAAUACCGGAUAAUAUUUUGAACCGCAUGGUCCAAAAGUGAAAGACGGUCUUGCUGUCACUUAUAGAUGGAUCCGCGCUGCAUUAGCUAGUUGGUAAGGUAACGGCUUACCAAGGCAACGAUGCAUAGCCGACCUGAGAGGGUGAUCGGCCACACUGGAACUGAGACACGGUCCAGACUCCUACGGGAGGCAGCAGUAGGGAAUCUUCCGCAAUGGGCGAAAGCCUGACGGAGCAACGCCGCGUGAGUGAUGAAGGUCUUCGGAUCGUAAAACUCUGUUAUUAGGGAAGAACAUAUGUGUAAGUAACUGUGCACAUCUUGACGGUACCUAAUCAGAAAGCCACGGCUAACUACGUG